UACGUAGGGUCCGAGCGUUGUCCGGAGUUACUGGGCGUAAAGCGCGCGCAGGCGGCGGUGCUGGCCCGGCGUGAAAGCCCCCGGCUCAACCGGGGAGGGUCGUCGGGGACCGCACCGCUUGAGGACCGGAGAGGGUAGUGGAAUUCCUAGUGUAGCGGUGAAAUGCGUAGAUAUUAGGAGGAACACCAGUGGCGAAGGCGACUACCUGGACGGCACCUGACGCUGAGGCGCGAAAGCCAGGGUAGCAAACGGG
rnacentral:rRNA from 1 species